rnacentral:rRNA from 1 species
AGGUCAAGCAAUAAGGGCACAGGGCGGAUGCUUGGCACUAAGAGCCGAUGAAAGACGUGAUAAGCUGCGAUAAGCUUCGGGGAGGAGCAAAUAUCCAUUGAUCCGGAGAUGUCUGAAUGGGGAAACCCACAUGAGCAAACCUCAUGUAUCCAUACGCCAAUCCAUAACGUAUGGAAGGGAACCCGGGGAACUGAAACAUCUAAGUACCCGGAGGAAAAGAAAGAAAACUCGAUUCCGUAAGUAGCGGCGAGCGAACGCGGAGGAGCCUAAACCGGAAUGCGUGCAUUCCGGGGUUACGGACUGCAUUUAAGAUUCAGUGAUGUUAACAGAACGGUUUUGGGAAAGCCGGCCGGAGAGGGUGAAAGCCCCGUACGUGAAAGCAGAGCUGACUGAGCAGGAUCCAGAGUACCACGAGACACGUGGAACCUUGUGGGAAAUCAGGGGGACCACCCCCUAAGGCUAAAUACUACUUAGUGACCGAUAGCGCAUAGUACUGUGAAGGAAAGGUGAAAAGGACCCCGGGAGGGGAGUGAAAGAGAACCUGAAACCCUGUGUCUACAAGCUGUGGAAGCACUUUAUAUGUGCGACCGCGUACUUUUUGUAGAACGGUCCGGCGAGUUACGCUUACUGGCAAGGUUAAGCACUUCAGGUGUGGAGCCGUAGGGAAACCAAGUCUUAAGAGGGCCAGAGUCAGUAGGAGUAGACCCGAAACCGGGUGAUCUAUCCAUGUCCAGGUUGAAGCUGCCGUAAGAGGUAGUGGAGGACCGAACCCACAUCCGUUGAAAAGGGUGGGGAUGAGGUGUGGAUAGGGGAGAAAUUCCAAUCGAACCCGGAGAUAGCUGGUUCUCCUCGAAAUAGCUUUAGGGCUAGCCUCGAUACAGAUUUGCGGAGGUAGAGCACUGAAUUUCCUAGGGGGCGUCAAAGCCUACCGAAGAAUAUCAAACUCCGAAUGCCGCGUAAUCGAUUAUCGGGAGUCAGACUGCACGAGAUAAGUUGGGCGGUCAAAAGGGAAAGAGCCCAGACCUUCAGUUAAGGUCCCCAAGUGCGCGUUAAGUGGAAAAGGAUGUGGGAUUUCGAAGACAACCAGGAUGUUGGCUCAGAAGCAGCCAUCCAUUCAAAGAGUGCGUAAUAGCUCACUGGUCGAGAGGUCCUGCGCCGAAAAUGUCCGGG